CCUACGGGGCGCAGCAGUGGGGGAUAUUGCACAAUGGGGGGAACCCUGAUGCAGCGACGCCGCGUGGGUGAAGAAGCGCCUCGGCGCGUAAAGCCCUGUCAGCAGGGAAGAAAAGGACGGUACCUGAAGAAGAAGCCCCGGCUAACCACGUGCCAGCAGCCGCGGGAAUACGUAGGGGGCAAGCGUUAGCCGGAUUUACUGGGUGGAAAGGGGGCGCAGCCGGCGAUGCAAGCCAGGAGUGAAAGCCCGGGGCCCCCCCCCGGGACUGCUCUUGGAACUGCGUGGCUGGAGUGCAGGAGGGGCAGGCGGAAUUCCUUGUGUAGCGGUGAACUGCGUAGAUCUCAGGAGGAACACCGGUGGCGACGGCGGCCUGCUGGACUGCAACUGACGUUGAGGCCCG
rnacentral:rRNA from 1 species